UGAUGGGGGACCCGGGACUGGCCCCGUGGUGUCAGAGGCUGAGUAGGGGCUGGCUGGAGGCAGGAGGGCUGGGAGCCUGAAACUCUGAGAGCAACUCUAUCUCUGCACAGCUGGGAGACAGGAAAGCAUGAGGAGAAAGUGGGGGAUCUCUGGCUGGCAGCACCUCCAAGGGCCCCAUCCCUGGAGCUGAGCAUCUGGGCAGAGGUGCGCUCGGGGACCCCUGCCAGAGGGCUGCACACCUGGAUUGCCCUUGGACUCUUUCUUCCCCUGUGCAAACCUCACCAUAAACCUCUGAUGGGGAAAAAAACCUCCUAGGUGAGGGGAAACUUGGUCAGCAUGGCCUGGCCUCCAGCCCGCCGGGAGCCAGUGGUGUCCCAGGCCAGAGCAUCCCUAACGCCAGGGCUCAGCAGCUGCGCAGUGACAGAAAGGACCAGAAAGGGCUGGGAGGUUGUUAUGGAAACAGCCACAAAUUGGAUCAGUACUUGGCGCAAGGAGCAGUUUGUGUGACUGAUGUGGGAGCAGCGAAGCCCUCGCCCCUGCGUCCUCCUCCGAGCCCCGUGGGUGUGUUAGCUUCGCCCCCGCUCUCCCAACUGCACGCUUCUCGCAGCCCACGCCAGCUCCCUGCGUUCUGCCGAGCAGUUCCCGCACGAUCCUUCCCACUCGCAGCGCAGGGCUGCCCCCCAACAGGGCCCGUGAAGGGGCAAGCGGGAGAGUGCCUCCAGCGUGCCCCAGCCGUCCGCUGUGGCCGUGGAAGAGCAAACCCCAUGCGGGCUGCUCCGUCCAGCCCUGAGCGCCAGGGCAGCUCAGCUAUCCGUUUCCAAAGCAGCCCCUCUGCUGGCAGGGAAAGCAGCCUCUCCGAAGAAGCCAUAAACACUCGCUAAGUGGAUGAGCUGAUGAUUUUCUGGCCAAGAGACCAUGUUAAAACGCAAUAACCAGCAAAGCAGAUGAGCUCAUUGGAGAACAACGGCUCGGGGCUGUGCCAAGCCCGGGAGAGCAGGAACAGGGCAGCCCCUCUGCUCGCCCCAUCCUGCCCUCCUGCACUGCCCAGCUGCCCUGCGAGGCCCUGGCAGGCAAUCUGCCUGCAGCCACUGCAAACCUGGGCUGAAACUGCCAUGCCACCUCGUGUCCCCUCCGGGUUCAGCAUUCCUGGGAUUCCUCCAGUGCUGCAACAGAUUUCCUUGCUCCGUGUCCCAGGAGCUGCCCCCUGGGCUCGCCCAUCCUCCCUGCCCUGGGACAGGACAUCGCCAGCACUGCUCUCCCUACUCCAGGUGCGCCCAGGGCUGGAGGAGCUGGUGGUCUUGCUCUCUCCAAGCAUUUGUGUCCCUGGCAGCCAUUGGAGCCAGACACGGGGUGGGCGUAUGGCUCCAACCCCAGGUGCCUGAGCCCCAGAGCUUGGCAUCCCGGUGCCCAGCUAUGGCUGCGACACAGCCAGGCUCUUCUCCCGGCUCCAGAUCACUGCUCUGGGCCCUCCCAGCUGCUCACGGGAGGGAAAAUACAUAGCGGCUCAGCACCAGGGGCCUCCGACAGCCACCGCGUCACCAGCAGUGGACAAGCUGCCCACAGAGAGGGUUGGGCCCAGGGGACACAAGGACUCUAGUCCUGAUCACCGCAACAACCUGCACUGGCAGCGCCAGCCACCCAGAGCUUCCUCUGGCUUAGAAAAACUGAACACAUCUCGAAACUCAAGAGAGGCAACACAGUCCUGGACUGCCACCGUGUGCCAUGGUGCUGUCAAUCGUUUGUGUCAUUUAUGAGCCCAUCAGCGGAGACACUGGGGUGCAAGGUGUGGCACUGGCAUCUCCCCCCACCCCACUCACUGAAUCCCGCAGCACCUCUGCCCACUGGGCACCUUCCAUGGGGUCCCUGGAGGUACUCACUGUCCCAGUGCAAACCUGUGGCGAGGAAGAGGAGGACACAUCCAGUCCUAGGGCUGGGCAAGGUGCUGCCCGGGGAGCAGAGGGUACUGCACCCCCCCCAGGGCUCUGCCUGCUGUCACCCUCGGUGUGUCCUUGCGUGACAGGCGAUGGGGACCCCAGCCGGCCCCAUUUCGCCAUCCCCAUCGCUCAGCAUGUGUGAGUAGGAGCCAGAGGGAGCCAAGCAGGAGGCUCUGCCCAUCCUGGCCAUGCGGGGAAGCCCCAGC